AGAGUUUGAUCCUGGCUCAGAGCGAACGCUGGCGGCAGGCUUAACACAUGCAAGUCGAGCGGGCGUAGCAAUACGUCAGCGGCAGACGGGUGAGUAACGCGUGGGAACAUACCUUUUGGUUCGGAACAACACAGGGAAACUUGUGCUAAUACCGGAUAAGCCCUUACGGGGAAAGAUUUAUCGCCGAAAGAUUGGCCCGCGUCUGAUUAGCUAGUUGGUGAGGUAACGGCUCACCAAGGCGACGAUCAGUAGCUGGUCUGAGAGGAUGAUCAGCCACAUUGGGACUGAGACACGGCCCAAACUCCUACGGGAGGCAGCAGUGGGGAAUAUUGGACAAUGGGCGCAAGCCUGAUCCAGCCAUGCCGCGUGAGUGAUGAAGGCCCUAGGGUUGUAAAGCUCUUUUGUGCGGGAAGAUAAUGACAGUACCGCAAGAAUAAGCCCCGGCUAACUUCGUGCCAGCAGCCGCGGUAAUACGAAGGGGGCUAGCGUUGCUCGGAAUCACUGGGCGUAAAGGGUGCGUAGGCGGGUCUUUAAGUCAGGGGUGAAAUCCUGGAGCUCAACUCCAGAACUGCCUUUGAUACUGAGGAUCUUGAGUUCGGGAGAGGUGAGUGGAACUGCGAGUGUAGAGGUGAAAUUCGUAGAUAUUCGCAAGAACACCAGUGGCGAAGGCGGCUCACUGGCCCGAUACUGACGCUGAGGCACGAAAGCGUGGGGAGCAAACAGGAUUAGAUACCCUAGUAGUCC
rnacentral:rRNA from 1 species